rnacentral:lncRNA from 1 species
UUUUGUAUUAGUUUUUUGAGUUCUUUUUGUUUUUUAUAAUUAGGGUGUUUUUUUCAGAAAUACUUUUCCUUCUGUUUUUUUUAUUUUGUUUACACUAUCCUUUCUCCUCUUUUUAGUUUACUUUAGUUUUUUUCUGCCUGUUUUAAGUUUUUUUUUUAGUUUUUUAAAGUUUUUUAGAAAUACUAUUCUUUUUCUUCUUUUUUUAGUUUUCUUUAGUUUUAUUCUGCCUGUUUUUAAGGGGUUUUUUCAGGUUUUUUUCAGUUUUUUUGUUAUUUAUAUAUAUAUAGGUUGUUCUUUUCUGAAAUACUUUUCCUUCUGUUUUUUUAUUUUGUUUAUACUAUCCUUUCUAUCCUUCUAUCCUUUAUCCUAUCCUUUCUUUUGUUUUUUUUAAUUCUAUUUGUUAUAUAUAUUUAGGGUGUUUUUUUUCAGAAAUACUUUUCCUUCUGUUUUUUAAAUUUUGUAUACACUAUCCUUUCUCCUUUUUUUAGUUUACUUUAGUUUUUUUCUGCCUGUUUUAAGUCUUUUUUUAGUUUUUUUAGUUUUUUAAAGUUUUUUUAGAAAAUACUAUUCUUUUCUUCUUUUUUAGUUUUCUUUAGUUUUAUCCUGCCUGUUUUUAAGUUUUUUUUUAGUUUUUUUUUUCUUUUUUUAUUAUUUAUAUAUAUAUAGGUUGUUCUUUUCUGAAAUACUUUUCCUUCUGUUUUUUUAUUUUGUUUAUACUAUCCUUUCUCUUUUUUAGUUUUCUUCAGUUUUUUUCUGCCUGUUUUAAUUUUUUUUGUUUUUUCUAUAUAUUUAGGGUGUUUUUUCUGAUAUACUUUUCUUUCUGUUUUUUUAAUUUUGUUUAUACUAUCCUUUCUCUUUUUUUAGUUUUCUUUAGUUUUUUGUCUGCCUGUUUUAAGUUUUUUUUAAGGUUUUUUUCAGUUUUUUGUUAUUUAUAUAUAUAUAUAGGUUGUUCUUUUCUGAAAUACUUUUCCUUCUUUUUUUUAUUUUGUUUAUACUAUCCUUUCUCCUUUUUAGUUUUCUUUAGUUUUUGUCUGCCUGUUUUAAGUUUUUUUUUUAGUUUUUUGAAGUUUUUUUUAGAAAUACUAAUCUUUUUAUUAGUUUUCUUUAGUUUUUUUCUGCCUGUUUUAAUUGUUUUGUUUUUUGUUUCCUUUAGUUUUUUUUUCUUCAGUUUUUUUUACCUAUUUUUUUGCCUGGCACCUCUUUCUUGAUGAGCUACUCUUAGUCUGGUCCCUCCCCCAGGACCUGCUGCCUUGGGUAACCUUUCAGAGGCAUAAAGCCCUGACAACAUAGCUCCUGGGAUCAUUGGGACACACAAACCCCUCCACCACGGUAAGGUGGUAGCUCAAGGAGGGGAAAAAACCCUCACAUGGGAGGGAAAAACCGCAAGGGUUUUUUUUUCUGUGCAAAACACCCGGUUUAGGGUGGGUUUUUGUUCUUUUUUUUCAGAAAUACUUUUCAUUUCUUUAGUUUCCUAUAGUUCUUUUUUAUUUUUCUGCCUGUUUUAAGUUUUUUUUUCAGAAAUACUGUGAUGUUUCUUUUUUUUUUAGUUUUUUUUUAUGAAUACUAUUCUUUUUCUCAGUUUUCUUUAGUUUUUUUUGUCAUUUAUAAAUAUUAAGGGUUUUCCUUUCUGAAAUACUUUUCCUUCUGUUUUUUUAUUUUGUUUAUACUAUCCUUUCUCUUUUUUAGUUUUCUUUAGUAUUUUCUACCUGUUUUAAGUUUUUUUUUUGUUUUUUUUGUUUUUUCUAUAUAUUUAGGGUGUUUUUUUCUGAAAUACUUUUCCUUCUGUUUUUUUUAUUUUGUUUAUACUAUCCUUUCUCUUUUUUAGUUUUCUUUAGUUUUUUUCUGCCUGUUUUAAGUUUUUUUUGUUUUUUCUAUAUAUUUAGGGUGUUUUAUCAGAAAUACUUUUCCUUCUGUUUUUUUUAUUUUGUUUAUACUAUCCUUUCUCUUUUUUAGUUUUCUUUAGUUUUUUUCUGCCUGUUUUAAGUUUUUUUUAGUUUUUUUAGUUUUUUAGUUUUUUCUAUAUAUUUAGGGUGUUUUUUCUGAAAUACUUUUCCUUCUGUUUUUUUUAUUUUUUUUAUACUAUCCUUUCUCUUUCUUUAAUUUUCUUUAGUUUUUUGUCUGCCUGUUUUAAGUGUUUUUUUUUAUUUUUUAAAGUUUUUUUUUAGAAAUACUAUUCUUUUUCUUCUUUUUUUAGUUUUCUUUAGUUUUAUUCUGCCUGUUUUUAAGGGUUUUUUUAGGUUUUUUUCAGUUUUUUGUUAUUUAUAUAUAUAAACAACCUGUUUUAAGGUUGUUUUUUAGUUUUUUUCUUGUUGUUAUUUAUAUAUAUUAAGGGUGUUCUUUUCUGAAAUACUUUUCCUUCUUUUUUUUCAUUUUGUUUAUAAUAUCCUUUCUCUUUUUUAGUUUUCUUUAGUUUUUUUCUGCCUGUUUUAAGUUUUUUUUUUUUUUUUUUUUCUAUAUAUUUAGGGUGUUUUUUUUCUCAAAUACUAUUCUUUUUCUCCUUUUUUUAGUUUUCUUUAGUUUUAUUCUGCCUGUUUUUAAGGUUUUUUUUUAGUUUUUUUUCAGUUUUUUGUUAUUUAUAUACACUCACUGGCCACUUUAUUAGGUACACCUGUCCAACUGCUCGUUAACACUUAAUUUCUAAUCAGCCAAUCACAUGGCGGCAACUUAGUGCAUUUAGGCAUGUAGACAUGGUCAAGACAAUCUCCUGCAGUUCAAACCGAGCAUCAGUAUGGGGAAGAAAGGUGAUUUGAGUGACUUUGAACGUGGCAUGGUUGUUAGUGCCAGAAGGGCUGGUCUGAGUAUUUCAGAAACUGCUGAUCUACUGGGAUUUUCACGCACAACCAUCUCUAGGGUUUACAGAGAAUGGUCCGAAAAAGAAAAAAUAUCCAGUGAGCGGCAGUUCUGUGGGCGGAAAUGCCUUGUUGAUGCCAGAGGUCAGAGGAGAAUGGCCAGACUGGUUUGAGCUGAUAGAAAGGCAACAGUGACUCAAAUAACCACCCGUUACAACCAAGGUAGGCAGAAGAGCAUCUCUGAACGCACAGUACAUCGAACUUUGAGGCAGAUGGGCUACAGCAGCAGAAGACCACGCCAGGUGCCACUCCUUUCAGCUAAGAACAGGAAACUGAGGCUACAAUUUGCACAAGCUCAUCGAAAUUGGACAAUGAAGAUUGGAAAAACGUUGCCUGGUCUGAUGAGUCUCGAUUUCUGCUGCGACAUUCGGAUGGUAGGGUCAGAAUUUGGCGUCAACAACAUGAAAGCAUGGAUCCAUCCUGCCUUGUAUCAACAGUUCUGGCUGGUGGUGGUGGUGUCAUGGUGUGGGGAAUAUUUUCUUGGCACUCUUUGGGCCCCUUGGUACCAAUUGAGCAUCGUUGCAACGCCACAGCCUACCUGAGUAUUGUUGCUGACCAUGUCCAUCCCUUUAUGACCACAAUGUACCCAACUUCUGAUGGCUACUUUCAGCAGGAUAAUGCGCCAUGUCAUAAAGCUGGAAUCAUCUCAGACUGGUUUCUUGAACAUGACAAUGAGUUCACUGUACUCAAAUGGCCUCCACAGUCACCAGAUCUCAAUCCAAUAGAGCAUCUUUGGGAUGUGGUGGAGCGGGAGAUUCGCAUCAUGGAUGUGCAGCCGACAAAUCUGCGGCAACUGUGUGAUGCCAUCAUGUCAAUAUGGACCAAGCUCUCUGAGGAAUGCUUCCAGCACCUUGUUGAAUCUAUGCCACGAAGAAUUGAGGCAGUUCUGAAGGCAAAAGGGGGUCCAACCCGUUACUAGCAUGGUGUACCUAAUAAAGUGGCCGGUGAGUGUAUAUAUAUAGGUUGUUCUUUUCUGAAAUACUUUUCCUUGUGUUUUUUUAUUUUGUUUAUACUAUCCUUUCUAUCCUUCUAUCCUUUAUCCUAUCCUUUCUUAUAGUUUUUUUAGUUCUUUUUGUUAUAUAUAUUUAGGGUGUUUUUUUUCAGAAAUACUUUUCCUUCUGUUUUUUUAUUUUGUUUACACUAUCCUUUCUCUUCUUUUUAGUUUACUUUAGUUUUUUUCUGCCUGUUUUAAGUUUUUUUUUUAGUUUUUUAAAGUUUUUUUUAGAAAUACUAUUCUUUUUCUUCUUUUUUUAGUUUUCUUUAGUUUUAUUCUGCCUGUUUUUAAGGGGUUUUUUCAGGUUUUUUUCAGUUUUUUUGAAGUUUUUUUAGAAAUACUAAUCUUCUUGUUUUUAUUAGUUUUCUUUAGUUUUAUUCUGCCUGUUUUAAGUUUUUUUUUUUUUCUAUAUAUUUGGGGUGUUUUUUCUGAUAUACCUUUCUUUCUGUUUUUUUAAUUUUGUUUAUACUAUCCUUUCUCUUUUUUUAAUUUUCUUUAGUUUUUUGUCUGCCUGUUUUAAGUUUUUUGUAUUAGUUUUUUGAGUUCUUUUUGUUUUUUAUAAUUAGGGUGUUUUUUUCAGAAAUACUUUUCCUUCUGUUUUUUUUUAUUUUGUUUACACUAUCCUUUCUCCUCUUUUUAGUUUACUUUAGUUUUUUUCUGCCUGUUUUAAGUUUUUUUUUUAGUUUUUUAAAGUUUUUUUAGAAAUACUAUUCUUUUUCUUCUUUUUUUAGUUUUCUUUAGUUUUAUUCUGCCUGUUUUUAAGGGUUUUUUUCAGGUUUUUUUCAGUUUUUUUGUUAUUUAUAUAUAUAUAGGUUGUUCUUUUCUGAAAUACUUUUCCUUCUGUUUUUUUAUUUUGUUUAUACUAUCCUUUCUAUCCUUCUAUCCUUUAUCCUAUCCUUUCUUUUGUUUUUUUUAAUUCUAUUUGUUAUAUAUAUUUAGGGUGUUUUUUUUCAGAAAUACUUUUCCUUCUGUUUUUUAAAUUUUGUAUACACUAUCCUUUCUCCUUUUUUUAGUUUACUUUAGUUUUUUUCUGCCUGUUUUAAGUUUUUUUUAGUUUUUUUAGUUUUUUAAAGUUUUUUUAGAAAAUACUAUUCUUUUUCUUCUUUUUUAGUUUUCUUUAGUUUUAUCCUGCCUGUUUUUAAGUUUUUUUUUUAGUUUUUUUUUUCUUUUUUUAUUAUUUAUAUAUAUAUAGGUUGUUCUUUUCUGAAAUACUUUUCCUUCUGUUUUUUUAUUUUGUUUAUACUAUCCUUUCUCUUUUUUAGUUUUCUUCAGUUUUUUUCUGCCUGUUUUAAUUUUUUUUUGUUUUUUCUAUAUAUUUAGGGUGUUUUUUCUGAUAUACUUUUCUUUCUGUUUUUUUAAUUUUGUUUAUACUAUCCUUUCUCUUUUUUUAGUUUUCUUUAGUUUUUUGUCUGCCUGUUUUAAGUUUUUUUUAUUAGUUUUUUUAGUUCUUUUUGUUAUAUAUAUUUAGGGUGUUUUUUUUUCGGAAAUAGUUUUCCUUCUGUUUUUUUAUUUUGUUUACACUAUCCUUUCUCCUCUUUUUAGUUCACUUUAGUUUUUUUCUGCCUGUUUUAAGUUUUUUUUUUAGUUUUUUUUAGUUUUUUAAAGUUUUUUUUAGAAAUACUAUUCUUUUUUUUCUUUUUUUAGUUUUCUUUAGUUUUAUUCUGCCUGUUUUUAAGGUUUUUUUUAAGGUUUUUUUCAGUUUUUUGUUAUUUAUAUAUAUAUAUAGGUUGUUUUUUUCUGAAAUACUUUUCCUUCUUUUUUUUAUUUUGUUUAUACUAUCCUUUCUCCUUUUUAGUUUUCUUUAGUUUUUGUCUGCCUGUUAUAAGUUUUUUUUUAGUUUUUUGAAGUUUUUUUUAGAAAUACUAAUCUUCUUUUUAUUAGUUUUCUUUAGUUUUUUUCUGCCUGUUUUAAUUGUUUUGUUUUUUGUUUCCUUUAGUUUUUUUUUCUUCAGUUUUUUUUCCUAUUUUUUUGCCUGGCACCUCUUUCUUGAUGAGCUACUCUUAGUCUGGUCCCUCCCCCAGGACCUGCUGCCUUGGGUAACCUUUCAGAGGCAUAAAGCCCUGACAACAUAGCUCCUGGGAUCAUUGGGACACACAAACCCCUCCACCACGGUAAGGUGGUAGCUCAAGGAGGGGAAAAAACCCUCACAUGGGAGGGAAAAACCGCAAGGGUUUUUUUUUCUGUGCAAAACACCCGGUUUAGGGUGGGUUUUUGUUCUUUUUUUUCGGAAAUACUUUUCAUUUCUUUAGUUUCCUAUAGUUCUUUUUUAUUUUUCUGCCUGUUUUAAGUUUUUUUUCAGAAAUACUGUGAUGUUUCUUUUUUUUUUUUAGUUUUUUUUUUUACGAAUACUAUUCUUUUUCUCAGUUUUCUUUAGUUUUUUUUGUCAUUUAUAAAUAUUAAGGGUUUUCCUUUCUGAAAUACUUUUCCUUCUGUUUUUUUAUUUUGUUUAUACUAUCCUUUCUCUUUUUUAGUUUUCUUUAGUAUUUUCUACCUGUUUUAAGUUUUUUUUUUUUUUUUUUUUUUUUCUAUAUAUUUAGGGUGUUUUUUUCUGAAAUACUUUUCCUUCUGUUUUGUUUUAUUUUGUUUAUACAAUCCUUUCUCUUUUUUAGUUUUCUUUAGUUUUUUUCUGCCUGUUUUAAGUUUUUUUUUUAGUUUUUUUUUGUUUUUUUUCUAUAUAUUUAGGGUGUUUUUUCUGAUAUACUUUUCUUUCUGUUUUUUUUAAUAUUGUUUAUACUAUCAUUUCUCUUUAUUUAGUUUUCUUUAGUUUUUUGUCUGCCUGUUUUAAGAUGUUUUUAUUAGUUUUUUUAGUUCUUUUUGUUAUAUAUAUUUAGGGUGUUUUUUUUCAGAAAUAGUUUUCCUUCUGUUUUUUUUUAUUUUGUUUACACUGUCCUUUCUCUUUUUUUUUAAUUUUCUUUAGUUUUUUGUCUGCCUGUUUUUAGUUUUUUUUUUUAGUUUUUUUUUUAGUUCUUUUUGUAAUAUAUUUAGGGUGUUUUAUCAGAAAUACUUUUCCUUCUGUUUUUUUAUUUUGUUUAUAAUAUCCUUUCUCCUUUUUUAGUUUACUUUAGUUUUUUCUGCCUGUUUUAAGUUUUUUUUUUAGAUUUUUUUUAGUUUUUUAAAGUUUGUUUUAGAAAUACUAUUCUUUUUCUUCUUUUUUUAGGUUUCUUUAGUUUUUUUCUGCCUGUUUUAAGGUUGUUUUUUAGUUUUUUUUUCUUGUUGUUAUUUAUAUAUAUAUAGGUUGUUCUUUUCUGAAAUACUUUUCCUUCUGUUUUUUUUAUUUUGUUUAUACUAUCCUUUCUCUUUUUUAGUUUUCUUUAGUUUUUUUCUGCCUGUUUUAAGUUUUUUUUGUUUUUUCUAUAUAUUUAGGGUGUUUUUUUUCUCAAAUACUUUUCCUUCUGUUUUUUUUAUUUUGUUUACACUAUCCUUUCUCUUUUUUUAAUUUUCUUUAGUUUUUUGUCUGCCUGUUUUUAGUUUUUUUUUUUUUAGUUUUUUUUAGUUCUUUUUGUAAUAUAUUUAGGGUGUUUUAUCAGAAAUACUUUUCCUUCUGUUUUUUUUAUUUUGUUUAUACUAUCCUUUCUCUUUUUUAGUUUUCUUUAGUUUUUUUCUGCCUGUUUUAAGUUUUUUUUAGUUUUUUUAGUUUUUUAGUUUUUUCUAUAUAUUUAGGGUGUUUUUUUCUGAAAUACUUUUCCUUCUGUUUUUUUUAUUUUGUUUAUACUAUCCUUUCUCUUUCUUUAAUUUUCUUUAGUUUUUUGUCUGCCUGUUUUAAGUGUUUUUUUUUAGUUUUUUAAAGUUUUUUUUUAGAAAUACUAUUCUUUUUCUUCUUUUUUUAGUUUUCUUUAGUUUUAUUCUGCCUGUUUUUAAGGGUUUUUUUAGGUUUUUUUCAGUUUUUUGUUAUUUAUAUAUAUAAACAACCUGUUUUAAGGUUGUUUUUUAGUUUUUUUCUUGUUGUUAUUUAUAUAUAUUAAGGGUGUUCUUUUCUGAAAUACUUUUCCUUCUUUUUUUUCAUUUUGUUUAUAAUAUCCUUUCUCUUUUUUAGUUUUCUUUAGUUUUUUUCUCCCUGUUUUAAGUUUUUUUUUUUUUUUUUUUUUUUCUAUAUAUUUAGGGUGUUUUUUUUCUCAAAUACUAUUCUUUUUCUCCUUUUUUUUAGUUUUCUUUAGUUUUAUUCUGCCUGUUUUUAAGGUUUUUUUUUAGUUUUUUUUCAGUUUUUUGUUAUUUAUAUACACUCACUGGCCACUUUAUUAGGUACACCUGUCCAACUGCUCGUUAACACUUAAUUUCUAAUCAGCCAAUCACAUGGCGGCAACUUAGUGCAUUUAGGCAUGUAGACAUGGUCAAGACAAUCUCCUGCAGUUCAAACCGAGCAUCAGUAUGGGGAAGAAAGGUGAUUUGAGUGACUUUGAACGUGGCAUGGUUGUUAGUGCCAGAAGGGCUGGUCUGAGUAUUUCAGAAACUGCUGAUCUACUGGGAUUUUCACGCACAACCAUCUCUAGGGUUUACAGAGAAUGGUCCGAAAAAGAAAAAAUAUCCAGUGAGCGGCAGUUCUGUGGGCGGAAAUGCCUUGUUGAUGCCAGAGGUCAGAGGAGAAUGGCCAGACUGGUUUGAGCUGAUAGAAAGGCAACAGUGACUCAAAUAACCACCCGUUACAACCAAGGUAGGCAGAAGAGCAUCUCUGAACGCACAGUACAUCGAACUUUGAGGCAGAUGGGCUACAGCAGCAGAAGACCACGCCAGGUGCCACUCCUUUCAGCUAAGAACAGGAAACUGAGGCUACAAUUUGCACAAGCUCAUCGAAAUUGGACAAUGAAGAUUGGAAAAACGUUGCCUGGUCUGAUGAGUCUCGAUUUCUGCUACGACAUUCGGAUGGUAGGGUCAGAAUUUGGCGUCAACAACAUGAAAGCAUGGAUCCAUCCUGCCUUGUAUCAACAGUUCUGGCUGGUGGUGGUGGUGUCAUGGUGUGGGGAAUAUUUUCUUGGCACUCUUUGGGCCCCUUGGUACCAAUUGAGCAUCGUUGCAACGCCACAGCCUACCUGAGUAUUGUUGCUGACCAUGUCCAUCCCUUUAUGACCACAAUGUACCCAACUUCUGAUGGCUACUUUCAGCAGGAUAAUGCGCCAUGUCAUAAAGCUGGAAUCAUCUCAGACUGGUUUCUUGAACAUGACAAUGAGUUCACUGUACUCAAAUGGCCUCCACAGUCACCAGAUCUCAAUCCAAUAGAGCAUCUUUGGGAUGUGGUGGAGCGGGAGAUUCGCAUCAUGGAUGUGCAGCCGACAAAUCUGCGGCAACUGUGUGAUGCCAUCAUGUCAAUAUGGACCAAGCUCUCUGAGGAAUGCUUCCAGCACCUUGUUGAAUCUAUGCCACGAAGAAUUGAGGCAGUUCUGAAGGCAAAAGGGGGUCCAACCCGUUACUAGCAUGGUGUACCUAAUAAAGUGGCCGGUGAGUGUAUAUAUAUAGGUUGUUCUUUUCUGAAAUACUUUUCCUUGUGUUUUUUUAUUUUGUUUAUACUAUCCUUUCUAUCCUUCUAUCCUUUAUCCUAUCCUUUCUUUUAGUUUUUUUAGUUCUUUUUGUUAUAUAUAUUUAGGGUGUUUUUUUUCAGAAAUACUUUUCCUUCUGUUUUUUUAAUUUUGUUUACACUAUCCUUUCUCCUUUUUUUGGUUAACUUUAGUUUUUUUCUGCCUGUUUUAAGGUUGUUUUUUAGUUUUUUUUAGUUUUUUAAAGUUUUUUUUUUAGAAAUACUAUCCUUUUCUUCUUUUUUAAUUUUCUUUAGUUUUAUUCUUCCUGUUUUUAAGUUUUUUUUAGUUUUUUUUUAGUUUUUUGUUAUUUAUAUAUAUAGGUUGUUCUUUUCUGAAAUACUUUUCCUUCUGUUUUUUUUAUUUUGUUUAUACUAUCCUUUCUCUUUUUUUUAGUUUUCUUUAGUUUUUUUUCUGCCUGUUUUAAUUUUUUAUUAGAAAAACUAUUCUUUUUCUUCUUUUUUAGUUUUCUUUAGUUUUUUUCUGCAUGUUUAAAGUUGUUUUUUAGUUUUUUUUUGUUAUUUAUAAAUAUUAAGGGUUUUCCUUUCUAAAAUACUUUUCCUUCUGUUUUUUUAUUUUGUUUAUACCAUCCUUUCUCUUUUUUAGUUUUCUUUAGUUUUUUUCUGCCUGUUUUAAGUUUUUUUUUAGUUUUUUUAGUUUUUUAGUUUUUUCUAUAUAUUUAGGGUGUUUUUUCUGAAAUACUUUUCCUUCUGUUUUUUUUAUUUUGUUUAUACUAUCCUUUCUCUUUCUUUAAUUUUCUUUAGUUUUUUGUCUGCCUGUUUUAAGUGGUUUUUUUUAGGUUUUUUUAGUUACUUUUGUAAUAUAUUUAGGGUGUUUUAUCAGAAAUACUUCUGUUUUUUUUAUUUUGUUUAUAAUAUCCUUUCUCCUUUUUUAGUUUACUUUAGUUUUUUCUGCCUGUUUUAAUUUUAUUUUUUAGUUUUUUUUUGUUCUUUUUGUAAUAUAUUUAGGGUGUUUUUUCAGAAAUACUGUUCCUUCUGUUUUUUUUAGUUUUUGUCUGCCUGUUCUAAGUUUUUUUUUAGUUUUUUUUAGUUUUUUUUAGAAAUAAUAAUCUUCUUUUUAUUAGUUUUCUUUAGUUUUUUUCUGCCUGUUUUAAUUUUUCUGUUUUUUGUUUUCUUUAGUUUUUUUUCUUCAGUUUUUUUUUCCUAUUUUUUUGCCUGGCACCUCUGUCUGGAUGAGCUACUCUUAGUCUGGUCCCUCCCCCAGGACCUGUUUGCCUUGGGUAACCUUUCAGAGGCAUAAAGCCCUGACAACAUAGCUCCUGGGAUCAUUGGGACACACAAACCCCUCCACCACGGUAAGGUGGUAGCUCAAGGAGGGGAAAAAACCCUCACAUGGGAGGGAAAAACCGCAAGGGUUUUUUUUUCUGUCCAAAACAACCGGUUUAGGGUGGGUUUUUGUUCUUUUUUUUCAGAAAUACUUUUAUUUUCUUUAGUUUCCUAUAGUUCUUUUUUAUUUUUCUGCCUGUUUUAAGUUUUUUUUUUCAGAAAUACUGUGAUUUUACUUUUUUUUUUUACUUUUUUUUUUUUUACAAAUACUAUUCUUUUUCUUUGUUUUCUUUAGUUUUUUUCUGCAUGUUUAAAGUUUUUUUUUGUUUUUUUUGUUAUUUAUAAAUAUAAAGGGUUUUCCUUUCUAAAAUACUUUUCCUUCUGUUUUUUUUAUUUUGUUUAUACUAUCCUUUCUCUUUUUUAGUUUUCUUUAGUUUUUUUCUACCUGUUUUAAGUUUUUUUUGUUUGUCUUUUUUGUUUUUUCUAUAUAUUUAGGGUCUUUUUUUCUGAAAUACUUUUCCCUCUGUUUUUUUAUUUUGUUUAUACUAUCCUUUCUAUUUUUUAGUUUUCUUUAGUUUUUUUCUGCCUGUUUUAAGUUUUUUUUUUUUUUUUUUUAUAUAUAUUUGGGGUAUUUUUUCUGAUAUACUUUUCUUUCUGUUUUUUCAAUUUUGUUUAUACUAUCCUUUCUCUUUUUUUAGUUUUCUCUAGUUUUUUUCUGCCUGUUUUAAGUUUUUUUAUUAGUUUUUUUAGUUUUUUUCUGUUAUAUAUAAUUAGGGUGGUUUUUUUUCAGAAAUUCUUUUCCUUCUGUUUUUUUAUUUUGUUUACACUAUCCUUUCUCCUCUUUUUAGUUUACUUUAGUUUUUUCUGCCUGUUUUAAGUUUUUUUUUAGUUUUUAAAAGUUUUUUUUAGAAAUACUAUUCUUUUUCUUCUUUUUUUAGUUUUCUUUAGUUUUAUUCUGCCUGUUUUUAAGGGUUUUUUUAGUUUUUUUUCAGUUUUUUUGUUAUUUAUAUAUAUAUAUAGGUUGUUCUUUUCUGAAAUACUUUUCCUUCUGUUUUUUUUUUAUUUUGUUUAUACCAUCCUUUCUAUCCUUUAUUUCUUUAGUUUUUUUCUGCCUGUUUUAAGUUUUUUUUUUUUUUUUUUUUUUUUUUUUCUAUAUAUUUGGGGUGUUUUUUCUGAUAUACUUUUCUUUCUGUUUUUUCAAUUUUGUUUAUACUAUCCUUUCUCUUUUUUUAGUUUUCUCUAGUUUUUUUUCUGCCUGUUUUAAGUUUUUUUAUUAGUUUUUUUAGUUUUUUUCUGUUAUAUAUAAUUAGGGUGUUUUUUUUUUCAGAAAUUCUUUUCCUUCUGUUUUUUAUUUUGUUUACACUAUCCUUUCUCCUCUUUUUAGUUUACUUUAGUUUUUUCUGCCUGUUUUAAGUUUUUUUUUAGUUUUUAAAAGUUUUUUUUAGAAAUACUAUUCUUUUUCUUCUUUUUUUAGUUUUCUUUAGUUUUAUUCUGCCUGUUUUUAAGGGUUUUUUUUAGUUUUUUUUUCAGUUUUUUUGUUAUUUAUAUAUAUAUAUAGGUUGUUCUUUUCUGAAAUACUUUUCCUUCUGUUUUUUUUUUUUAUUUUGUUUAUACCAUCCUUUCUAUCCUUUAUCCUAUCCUUUCUUUUAGUUUUUUUAGUUCUUUUUGUUAUAUAUAUUUAGGGUGUUUUUUUUCAGAAAUAUUUUU